GAUGAACGCUGGCGGCGUGCUUAACACAUGCCAGUCGAACGGGAAACCUUUUAUUGAAGCUUCGGCAGAUUUAGCUGGUUUCUAGUGGCGGACGGGUGAGUAACGCGUGGGUAACCUGCCUUAUACAGGGGGAUAACAACCAGAAAUGGUUGCUAAUACCGCAUAAGCGCACAGGACCGCAUGGUCCGGUGUGAAAAACUCCGGUGGUAUAAGAUGGACCCGCGUUGGAUUAGCUAGUUGGCAGGGUAACGGCCUACCAAGGCGACGAUCCAUAGCCGGCCUGAGAGGGUGAACGGCCACAUUGGGACUGAGACACGGCCCAGACUCCUACGGGAGGCAGCAGUGGGGAAUAUUGCACAAUGGGGGAAACCCUGAUGCAGCGACGCCGCGUGAAGGAAGAAGUAUCUCGGUAUGUAACUUCUAUCAGCAGGGAAGAUAGUGACGGUACCUGACUAAGAAGCCCCGGCUAACUACGUG
rnacentral:rRNA from 1 species